rnacentral:rRNA from 1 species
GACGAACGCUGGCGGCGUGCUUAACACAUGCAAGUCGAGCGGUAAGGCCCUUUCGGGGGUACACGAGCGGCGAACGGGUGAGUAACACGUGGGUGACCUGCCCUCAGCUCUGGGAUAAGCCUGGGAAACCGGGUCUAAUACUGGAUAUGACUCCAUGACGCAUGUUGUGGGGUGGAAAGCCUUGUGCGGCUGAGGAUGGGCCCGCGGCCUAUCAGCUUGUUGGUGGGGNGAUGGCCUACCAAGGCGACGACGGGUAGCCGGCCUGAGAGGGCGACCGGCCACACUGGGACUGAGACACGGCCCAGACUCCUACGGGAGGCAGCAGUGGGGAAUCUUGCGCAAUGGGCGAAAGCCUGACGCAGCGACGCCGCGUGAGGGAUGACGGCCUGG